GACGAACGCUGGCGGCGUGCUUAACACAUGCAAGUCGAACGGAAAGGCCCUGCUUUUGUGGGGUGCUCGAGUGGCGAACGGGUGAGUAACACGUGAGUAACCUGCCCUUGACUUUGGCAUAACUUCAGGAAACUGGGGCUAAUACCGGAUAGGAGCUCCUGCUGCAUGGUGGGGGUUGGAAAGUUUCGGCGGUUGGGGAUGGACUCGCGGCUUAUCAGCUUGUUGGUGGGGUAGUGGCUUACCAAGGCUUUGACGGGUAGCCGGCCUGAGAGGGUGACCGGCCACAUUGGGACUGAGAUACGGCCCAGACUCCUACGGGAGGCAGCAGUGGGGAAUAUUGCACAAUGGGCGGAAGCCUGAUGCAGCAACGCCGCGUGCGGGAGGACGGCCUUCGGGUUGUAAACCGCUUUCGCCUGUGACGAAGCGUGAGUGACGGUAAUGGGUAAGAAGCACCGGCUAACUACGUG
rnacentral:rRNA from 1 species